rnacentral:lncRNA from 1 species
UCCUUUUGCUUUGCCGCCGUCCAUGAUGCUAGUGUUUCCGAGUCCUCGGGGUGCAUCAUAGCUUCUUUCUACAAGCUCCCAAAGGUCUUUAGAAAUGAAUAGAGUCUUCAUUUGAAGGCUCCGAUAAUCAUAGUUUUCUCCAUAAAAAAUAGGGACAAGAUUUUGUGAAUAGUUGAAUAAAGAUGAUGAAGAUGAUUGUGUUGCCAUGGUGGUUUGUAAUGGAACACAAGGCUAAACCCGNNNNN